UACAGAGGUCUCAAGCGUUGUUCGGAUUCAUUGGGCGUAAAGGGUGCGUAGGUGGCGGGGCAAGUCAGGUGUGAAAUCUCGGGGCUCAACCCCGAAACUGCACUUGAUACUGCCUUGCUCGAGUACUGGAGAGGAGACUGGAAUUUACGGUGUAGCAGUGAAAUGCGUAGAUAUCGUAAGGAAGACCAGUGGCGAAGGCGGGUCUCUGGACAGUUCCUGACGCUGAGGCACGAAGGUCAGGGGAGCAAACGGG
rnacentral:rRNA from 1 species